GGUGUAGUCAGAGAGGGAGCAGGAGAGCUGGUGCUCGGUUCCAGCGCUCUCUCUCUCUCUCUCUCUCUCUCACUCUCUCUCUCUCUGACACACUCGCGCAGAGACAUUCGCUAACAACCCCCCCCCCCUUUUUUCUGCCUCUAACAAGCCUCAUUGCUUUAGACCGAACCGCUUCAGCCCCUGGAUGGCGAUCUCAUGCGAGCCGAGAGCGCAUCAGCUCCAACUUCCCUCGUUCUCUAAACACAUGAAGCCGUCACUUUCACACUUGAUUAAUAGCAAAUGGACUAAGCUGGCUGCCAGAGACCGCUUUGCCAAACACCAGAGGAGAAACGCUACAUGUUCUGCUGCUCUUUCUUUCGUCUUCCAGGUUUUUUUUCCCUUCUGUUUCUUGCAUUUAUUUUUAUUUUUUUCUUGUCUUGUUGACAGUACAUACCGUAUAGCUCUCCGAAUAACGGAAAGGCUUAUGCGAUUUUUGUUGGUGCCUUGAAAAAAGUGCUGUCUUACAGUCGUUUAAUGAGAAUUUUCAAAAUAUAUAUAUUAUUUGUAUUAUUUGAACUCGACGCUGUGAAAAUGAGUCAGUUUAACUGCAGUCACUGUUGUCAGUGCGCAUGAGUGCGACUCUGAAUCGGUUCUUCACAGGACGAGACCGAGAGUGUGUGUUCAGCUCUGAGGACUGAAGGAGAGCAGGGAUGGGGAGAAGGAGCUCGGAUGCGGCUCGGAGGUUGGGAGUGAGUCUUCAGUGCCUUGGAUUUAUUGUCGUCUGCUCAGAUUUCCAGGAUAAAAUAGACGCAGGCUGAGAAAUGCUAUCAGCUGAGUCCAAGACAAGAGGAAUUAUUGGGAAUUUUAACUAUUUUUACAGAUAGAUAGAUAGAAGAAAGAAAGAACAAAAUGUGUAUUAAUUACAUCAUGUAACAAGACAAGAAUUCUUUAGAUAGGUAGAUAGAAGAAAGGUUUGUAUCAAGGAAGGAUACAAAUUUAGAAAGAAAGAAAGAAAGAAAAGAAAAAGAAAGAAAGAGCACCACCUGGUUGGACAAGUUGCUACUGCCAUCACUUACACUCAAAACAUUCACCUUUUUAGUUUCAACAUUGUCUUGAUUUACAUUUUAGGGUUCAUGUGACAUUUUCAAAUAAUUCAGUAUUAUAUUCUAUCAUCAAGGCUUUAUUUGUCCAGAGUGUAUUCAAUAUUAUGGACACAGAGGACAGUUUAAAAGCUGUGAGUAUAGCAAUCACACACACACACACACACACACACACACACACACACUCUCUCUUUGCAUCCCUGAUCUGUCAGCAUAGCCUGUAAUUAGUGUGAGAAAAUGAGUGAAAAUACUUUGUCUGAUUGCAAUAGUGAGAUUAAAACAUAUUUUCAACGAAUAUUGUCAUUUUAAAUGUUUUUUUUUUUUUUUUAUCUGAGAGCUGAAUGUCAUCCAAUAAUCAAUAAUUCAAUAAUCAUAUAGCAUCAUACAUUAAUAAUAUUUAUUUGCUUGUGUCUGUAUAGUGAUUUGGUAUUGUAUGUAGCUUUUAAUGUAAUUUUGCAGAAGUGUCAUAUGACUUUAUCAUGUAUUUUCCUUAUAAUGCUGAACUGAUCCAGUGUCUGAGGAAACAUUCAAACAUUAUCUCUUAUCUGUACUACUUUUCAAUUCAUUUCUUAUACAUCAUUUAUAAAACAUUAUUUCUCAA